GGGUAAUUAGCUCAGUCGGUAGAGCAUCAACCUUACAAGUUGGACGUCCUUGGUUCGAAUCCGAGAUUACCUA
rnacentral:tRNA from 1 species